rfam:Coprococcus eutactus CAG:665 genomic scaffold, scf107
UGAUAGCUAUGAAGCGGAGGUUGCUGCGUACAUAUCGCAGGUUUUUCGUGGAGCGAAUGUCAAUUUACAAAACUGGCGACAA